AUCCCAUGAUGAGGGCAUAGCCUUAACAUCUCCUUAAAAUGCUCUCAUGCUUCAUAAAGUGAUUCUCCGUACUUUUUGGUAGAACUUGUGAUUUGAUUUCUUAGCU